rnacentral:rRNA from 1 species
UCGAGAAUUUUGGGCAAUGGGCGAAAGCCUGACCCAGCAAUGCCGCGUGCGGGAUGAAGGUCUUCGGAUUGUAAACCGCUGUCGAGGGGGACGAAAUUUGACGGUACCCCUAGAGGAAGCCACGGCUAACUACGUGCCAGCAGCCGCGGUAAUACGUAGGUGGCGAGCGUUGUUCGGAUUUAUUGGGCGUAAAGGGUCCGCAGGGGGUUGAUUAAGUCUGACGUGAAAUCCCUGAGCUUAACUCAGGAACUGCGUUGGAGACUGGUUGACUAGAGUGUUGGAGAGGUGAUUGGAAUUCCAGGUGUAGCGGUGGAAUGCGUAGAUAUCUGGAAGAACAUCGAAAGCGAAGGCAGAUCACUGGACAAUGACUGACCCUCAGGGACGAAAGCAUGGGGAGCAA